rnacentral:rRNA from 1 species
AGUGAACGCUGGCGGUAGGCCUAACACAUGCAAGUCGAACGGCAGCACAGUAAGAGCUUGCUCUUACGGGUGGCGAGUGGCGGGCGGGUGAGGAAUACAUCGGAAUCUACUUUUUCGUGGGGGAUAACGUAGGGAAACUUACGCUAAUACCGCAUACGACCUACGGGUGAAAGCAGGGGAUCUUCGGACCUUGCGCGAUUGAAUGAGCCGAUGUCGGAUUUGCUAGUUGGCGGGGUAAAGGCCCACCAAGGCGACGAUCCGUAGCUGGUCUGAGAGGAUGAUCAGCCACACUGGAACUGAGACACGGUCCAGACUCCUACGGGAGGCAGCAGUGGGGAAUAUUGGACAAUGGGCGCAAGCCUGAUCCAGCCAUACCGCGUGGGUGAAGAAGGCCUUCGGGUUGUAAAGCCCUUUUGUUGGGAAAGAAAAGCAGCAGGUUAAUACCCCGCUGUUCUGACGGUACCCAAAGAAUAAGCACCGGCUAACUUCGUG